CAGGCGCGCACCCAUUAUCUGAGAAAAAAUUUCUCACAAACCCAUAUUUAUUAAAAUUAGGUUAUUCCUUCUUCCACGCCCAGAAAAGUUCUGUGAUUUCCUUCUCGAGGAGUAUUGUUUCUGCGAUGUAGUUUUGGUUUUUCGAGUAAACAUUACUUCGUGAUUAUUUCCUUGCUACUUCCUACGCCGGGACUACUUUGUUCUUCUACGAAUGAUGUUGGGGGAUCAAUUCCAAGCCUUCCUCUUUCGGCUGCAAGGAUUUCUUCUUUUGGGUAUAUUUGCAAAACCCUAAAUGAAAUCGAGAUUUUGAAAUUAAACUGAUUUGUGGUGGAAGUAACAAUGAGGAGUUGAUUAGUGUUCCUUGCAUAUCUUCUCUGAUAACCCCUAACAGCUCUGUGGAGACUAAAGCAAGAGCACCUAUUGGGUUUUCCACUUUUCUGCCAAAUAGUUGAUUAAUAUCUCCUUAUUACAUCUGAAAUUGAGGCAGACGAAAUCGAGAAAGAAAUGGGCAGAGAGAGCUGCUGAUGAAGAUGUGAAGUUGUUUCUAUCAGAGAACAUCAAUAAGAGUUGGUUCGUUUUGAGAUGAAGAAGAAAACACCUGAUUCUGAUGCCGCUGAAGCUAGGGUUUGGUGUUCUUGAGAGAAUCAGAUAGAGAUGAAUGUUAAGUUCCAGAGACUAGAGAAAUGUGGUAUGUGCUUGAAGGGUUCAGAUCGAGAAUUGGACAUGGAUUUGAUGCAGAGACGAAGAAUUGGGGUUAGGGUCUAGCCGAUUAAACAAAGAAGAAGACUUGCUGCUGAAAUACGAUGAUUAUGCACUGUACAAUGAUUUGGGAACCGACCGUCCCAUUCUCGGAAAUUCAACUGAGUUACCUUACCCUCGGCGAGGAAGGACGGGGCGAAAACCAGACAAAAAAGAUCCGAAUUACGAAACUCGCUUGGUUAUAUUGAACCUGAACAUAUACAUUCCAAGAGAUGAAAAAUUUAGUCGGUUGAAGUUCUCGGACUUUUUAGCUUAUGCGGUGAAAGCACUGGGUCAUGUCGUUCGUCCAGAAAUUAAAGCAAUAUUUGACAAAACACCUAAUGAAUUCGAUAGCUUCGACGAAGUGAUGCAUCUUUACGAAGGAUACCAGGGACAGGAAGUUAAUCAAACUGGAGAUUCCCAUUUGUUGACAUCAAAUUGGAGCCUCAGCUUAGAGUUUGUUAAAGAACUCUUUCGUUCUGACGGCGAAAACCCCCUCAAAUUCCCAUUUCUUCUUCAUUACUAAUUAUGUGGUUAUUAUAAUUAUACAUGCAGUCCAUAUCUUCAUGGAAAAACUUGUUGCAAGGAGAUAAGUUGUUUGAUUGCAUAACAUGUCAAGAUCAGAUUUGGUUUUUAGUCUGUUGGGUGUUGUUUUAAGUUGUUAUGCAACUAUGAAAAUG